rnacentral:rRNA from 1 species
UACGGAGGGUGCAAGCGUUAAUCGGAAUAACUGGGCGUAAAGCGCACGCAGGCGGUCGGAUAAGUCAGAUGUGAAAGCCCCGGGCUCAACCUGGGAACUGCAUUUGAAACUGUCUGACUAGAGUCUUGUAGAGGGGGGUAGAAUUCCAGGUGUAGCGGUGAAAUGCGUAGAGAUCUGGAGGAAUACCGGUGGCGAAGGCGGCCCCCUGGACAAAGACUGACGCUCAGGUGCGAAAGCGUGGGGAGCAAACAGGAUUAGAAACCCCGGUAGUCC